rnacentral:rRNA from 1 species
UAGGGAAUCUUCGGCAAUGGGGGGAACCCUGACCGAGCAACGCCGCGUGAGUGAAGAAGGUUUUCGGAUCGUAAAGCUCUGUUGUUAAGGAAGAACGAGUGUGAGAAUGGAAAGUUCAUGCUGUGACGGUACCUAACCAGAAAGCCACGGCUAACUACGUGCCAGCAGCCGCGGUAAUACGUAGGUGGCAAGCGUUGUCCGGAAUUAUUGGGCGUAAAGCGCGCGCAGGCGGUCACUUAAGUCCAUCUUAGAAGUGCGGGGCUUAACCCCGUGAUGGGAUGGAAACUGGGAGACUGGAGUAUCGGAGAGGAAAGUGGAAUUCCUAGUGUAGCGGUGAAAUGCGUAGAUAUUAGGAAGAACACCGGUGGCGAAGGCGACUUUCUGGACGAAAACUGACGCUGAGGCGCGAAAGCGGGGGGAGCAAACAGG